rnacentral:lncRNA from 1 species
CCGGAUGGAUCGAGCUGUACGAUCAAAGGCAUCGGGACGGUCAGUUGGAGGACACAUGAUGGUGUAGUGAGGAGAUUGAGGGAGAUCCGAUACAAAUCUGAUUUCAAGCGAAAUCUUAUCUCACUGAGCAGACUGAAUUCGAGAGGCUACAGGAUGGUAGCUGGUGGAGGACUUCUGAAGGUGCUAUGCGGCGAUAAGAUUGUUCUGGAGGGAAAGAAGGGGAGAAGAGAACAUUAUUACUUGGUAGAGAGCCCAGUGCGCGGUGGAGCUUCAGGUGCCAGGUGGAGCCUAGAGCAAGGUGGAGCUCUAAGUGGAGGUGG